UCUUUUUCUUUCCCCUGGUUGCGAAGACCCAGGCCAGACAGGCGGCUGUCCGAAUGUGGAGCUCUGGCGCCCGGGCUUUGCUUUGCGUGUGGGAGGUGCGACUGUCUGGGUUCCUGGGUAGGAGCUUGCUGAGCACCAAUGCUGCCUCGGGGAAGAGCGAGGCGCGGCAGUGCUGGAACUGCGGCAGUGCAGGGUGUGUGAAGAGUGGGGAUGGUUUCUUCUGCGAACACUGCCGCGCGUUGCAGCCUCCUGACCCGACUCGGGACUACUUCAGCCUCAUGAAUUGUCAACGAUCCUUCAAGGUUGACAUCGUGAAACUUAAGCACAGGUACCAUCAACUACAAUGUCUCAUCCAUCCAGAUUUCUUCAGCCAAAAGUCUCAGACUGAAAAACACCUCUCACAGAAGCAUUCGGCCCUACUGAAUGAUGCCUAUAAGACUCUUCAGGCUCCCCUGAGCCGGGGACUAUACCUUCUAAAGCUCCAAGGAAUAGAAAUCCCUGAAGGGACAGACUAUGGAACAGACAGUCAAUUCCUUGUGGAAAUAAUGGAAAUCAAUGAGAAACUUGCACACGCUCAAAGUGAGGCUGCCAUUGAAGAGAUAAAAUCCACUGUCAGAGCUAAACAGAAAGAAUUUACUGACAAUGUAAACAGAGCUUUUGAACAAGGCCAGAAGAGGGCACCAGACUCCAAUCCAGAUGGUUGUGAGCCACUAUAUGGUUGCUGGGAAUUGAACUCAGGACCUUUGGAAGAGCAGGCAAUGCUCUUAACCUCUGAGCCAUCUCUCCAGCCCUUGUUUUGAACUCUUUAGACUCUUUGGGGGAUCCGUCACCUGGCUCCCAAAUAAUCACACACAGUGAUUUUGAAAAAGCCAAGGAAAUUCUAACAAAGAUGAAAUACUUUUCAAACAUUGAAGAAAAUAUCCAGUUGAGCAAGAAUCCCUUCUAGCUGCUAAUUUAAAAUUAUAAAAAAUAAACUUUCUGUAUUUCUUU